rnacentral:rRNA from 1 species
CGUACGACUCUCGGCAAUGGAUAUCUCGGUUCUCGCAUCGAUGAAGAACGUAGCGAAAUGCGAUACCUGGUGUGAAUUGUAGAUUCCUGUGAACCACCAAGUCUUUGAAUGCAAGUUGCGCCCGAGGCCACCUAGCUGAGGGCAUGCCUGCCUGGGCAUCAUGC